GGAUAGUUCAGUCGGUUAGAGCAUGGUGCUGAUAACAUCAACAAUGCAGGUUCGAUCCCCAUAUGGGACA